GGCGGCGUGCUUAACACAUGCAAGUCGAACGAAGAGCGAUGGAAGCUUGCUCCUAUCAAUCUUAGUGGCGAACGGGUGAGUAACGCGUAAUCAACCUGCCCUUCAGAGGGGGACAACAGUUGGAAACGACUGCUAAUACCGCAUACGAUCUAACCUCGGCAUCGAGGAUAGAUGAAAGGUGGCCUCUAUUUAUAAGCUAUCACUGAAGGAGGGGAUUGCGUCUGAUUAGCUAGUUGGAGGGGUAACGGCCCACCAAGGCGAUGAUCAGUAGCCGGUCUGAGAGGAUGAACGGCCACAUUGGGACUGAGACACGGCCCAGACUCCUACGGGAGGCAGCAGUGGGGAAUCUUCCGCAAUGGACGAAAGUCUGACGGAGCAACGCCGCGUGAGUGAUGACGGCCUUCGGGUUGUAAAGCUCUGUUAAUCGGGACGAAAGGCCUUCUUGCGAAUAGUUAGAAGGAUUGACGGUACCGGAAUAGAAAGCC
rnacentral:rRNA from 1 species